CAGCAAUGGCACCCUGACGGCUCAAACUCUUACAAACUUGGUCAUUUAGAGGAAGUAAAAGUCGUAACAAGGUAUCUGUAGGUGAACCUGCAGAUGGAUCAUUUCGAUGAAAACCUUUUUUUCUGAGGUGUGGCUCGCACCUGUCUAACUAAACUUGAGCUACCUUUUUUCAACACGGUUGCAUCGGUUGAGUGUCAAAAGAACGCGAAAGUGUUUUUUUGGCCUCGACACUUUACACAAAAACACUUUUGAUUUACUUAGGAUUUGAAUGACAAUUUAUGACUGGUAAUUCGGUCGUUUAAAUUUAAAAAACAACUUUUGGCAACGGAUCUCUUGGUUCUCCCAUCGAUGAAGAACGCAGCGAAUUGCGAUAAGUAAUGUGAAUUGCAGAAGUGAAUCAUCGAAUCUUUGAACGCACCUUGCGCUCCCUGCAGAUCUAAUCUGGGGAGCAUGCCUGUUUGAGGGCCGCGAAUUGUUUCGAACCGACUCUUUUUUUAAUUAAAAAGGGACGGAUCGGUAUUGAGGGUUUUUUGCCAUUUACCGUGGCUCCCUCGAAAUACAUUAGCGCAUCCAUUUGAUAGGCAAGAACGGACGAAAGCUCAUUUUUUCGCCCUCUCUUCCCUGCCGGGUUUUGAUAAUAUCGGGACUUCGGAGGCGAGGAAAGGGCAAGAGCUGGACGCAACGUUUUUGCUGUUUGGCGUGCUUCUGAACCCCGCCCAUGCCUUUCUUUCGAGAGGGGAAGGGAAAUUAAAUAAUUCAAAUCGGCCUCAGAUUGGUAGGACUACCCGCUGAACUUAAGCAUAUCAAUAAGCGGAGGAAAAGAAACUAACAAGGAUUCCCCUAGUAACGGCGAGUGAAGAGGGAAGAGCCCAAGAUUGAAAGCUGGCGUCUUCGGCGUCCGCAUUGUAAUCUCAAGAAGUGUUUUCCGCUUCGGACCAUGCCUAAGUCCCUUGGAAAAGGGCAUCAUAGAGGGUGAU
rnacentral:rRNA from 1 species